CGUUUAGGGGUAAACUGAGARACMCCGAAGUCGAAGGAAGAAAUUCAUUCGUGUUUCGUUAUUGACAUAAUUGUGUAUGAUUGACAAUUAUUGAAUUGGUGUUGUGACUAUAUGUUAUAGCAUACAAUUUGAAUAUUGCAGCAUAUCUAUAAUGAAUCAAUUGAUGAACGCGUGCAUUUUUCUUCUGGUAGGACGUUGCGAUCCGUUAGUUUAUCGAUUUAUGUUGUAUAUGCGGUAUAGUUCAUUGAUACAUGUAUAAUUAUUAUUAUAUAUGGUGAUGUUGAUGAAGCCGUGAAAACUGGUCGAUUUGUCUGACGGUAUAAUAAUGGUUAAAAGUCGCUAAUAUUCAUAAAUUAGCGUUAGAGGUUAAACAAGUGUAAAAUUGUGUAAUUGCUCUAGUAAAAUAGAGAUUUCGGUAAUCGAUAUUUAUAUCAAUUCCGAGCCGUUUUUACAUUGUUAGUUUGGCAUAUCUCUGACAGACUUUAUUAUUUUUUAAUAAAACCAAUCAGCAACGCUAUAGCUUUGGGUACUUUCAGGACCCGUCUUGAAACACGGACCAAGGAGUCUAGCAUGUUCGCAAGCCAUUGGGAUAAUAAACCUAUAGGCAUAAUGAAAGUAAAAAUUUUAAUAUAUCAUUGAUGUAUUAAAAGGGAAGAUGAUUAAUAACUUUGUAUAGUAAAAUAUAUAUGGUAUUAUUUCGCAUUCCCGGGGCGUUUAAAUUUCAUUUUUUUGUUUACAAUUAAAUGAGAUUAUGCGCACCAAGAGUGUACACGCUGGGACCCGAAAGAUGGUGAACUAUGCCUGGUCAGGACGAAGUCAGGGGAAACCCUGAUGGAGGUCCGUAGCGAUUCUGACGUGCAAAUCGAUCGUCGGAACUGGGUAUAGGGGCGAAAGACUAAUCGAACCAUC
rnacentral:rRNA from 1 species